UACAGAGGGCUCAAGCGUUGUUCGGAUUCAUUGGGCGUAAAGGGUGCGUAGGUGGCGCGCUAAGUCAGGUGUGAAAUUUCGGAGCUUAACUCCGAAACUGCAUUUGAUACUGGCGUGCUUGAGGACUGGAGAGGAGACUGGAAUUCACGGUGUAGCAGUGAAAUGCGUAGAGAUCGUGAGGAAGACCAGUGGCGAAGGCGGGUCUCUGGACAGUUCCUGACACUGAGGCACGAAGGCCAGGGGAGCAAACGGG
rnacentral:rRNA from 1 species